rnacentral:rRNA from 1 species
AUGUUCUUGAAAUUUAAAGAAUUUGGCGGUAGUUUAGUCUUGUCAGAGGAACCUGUUUUUUAAUCGAUAAUCCACGAAAUAUCUUACUUAUAAAAAAUUAGUUUGUAUAUCAUCAUUAUUAGAUAAUUUUAAAAGAGAGAAUUAUUAAAAUUAUUUUAUAAUAAAAAAAUUAGAUCAAGGUACAGCUUAUGUAUAAGUUUAAAUGGGUUACAAUAAAAUUUAUUUUAUGUGGAUUUAUAAAUUAAAUAUUGUAAUGAAAAAGGAUUUGAUUGUAAUUGAAAUUUAAUAAGGUUUAAAGAUAUAUGCUCUAAAUUAUGUACACAUCGCCC